AAGAGGGAAGAGCCCAAGAUUGAAAGCUGGCGUCUUCGGCGUCCGCAUUGUAAUCUCAAGAAGUGUUUUCCGCUUCGGACCAAGCCUAAGUCCCCUGGAAAGGGGCAUCAUAGAGGGUGAUAAUCCCGUACAUGGCUUGGAGCGCCCGAGGCUUUGUGAUACGCUUUCUAAGAGUCGAGUUGUUUGGGAAUGCAGCUCAAAAUGGGUGGUAAAUGCCAUCUAAGGCUAAAUAUUGGGGAGAGACCGAUAGCGAACAAGUACAGUGAUGGAAAGAUGAAAAGAACUUUGAAAAGAGAGUUAAACAGUACGUGAAAUUGCCAAAAGGGAAGGGUAGGAGGUCAGAGAUGCGGCCUGGGAUUCAGCCUUGCUUUUGCUUGGUGUUUUUCCCAGAUUGCAGGCCAACGUCGGUUUUGGGCACUGGAGAAGGGUAGGAGGAACGUGGCACCCCUCGGGGUGUGUUAUAGCCUCCUACUGGAUACAGCGACCGAGACCGAGGACAGCAGCGUACUCGCAAGAGCGGGCCUUCGGGCACCUUUACGCUUAGGGCGUUGGCAUAAUGGCCCUCUACCACCCGUCUUGA
rnacentral:rRNA from 1 species